GACGAACGCUGGCGGCGUGGAUAAGACAUGCAAGUCGAACGGGACAGACCGAGUAGCAAUAUUUGGAAUGUUCAGUGGCGAACGGGUGCGUAACACGUGGAUAACAUUCCGGAAAGCGGGGAAUAGCCCAGGGAAACUUGGAUUAAUACCGCAUGUGGCCGCCAUGCUAAAGACGGGGACCGCAAGGCCUGGCACUUUCCGAUUUGUCCGCGGCCUAUCAGCAAGUUGGCGGGGUAAUGGCCCACCAAGGCGACGACGGGUAGCUGGUCUGAGAGGACGGCCAGCCAAACUGGAACUGAGACACGGUCCAGACACCUACGGGUGGCAGCAGUCGAGAAUCUUUCACAAUGGGGGCAACCCUGAUGGAGCGACGCCGCGUGGAGGAUAAGGUCUUCGGAUUGUAAACUCCUGUCAUGCGAGAGCAAGGUACUCAGGCUAAUAACCUGAUUGUUUGAUGGUACCGCAAGAGGAAGAGACGGCUAACUCUGUGCCAGCAGCCGCCGUAAGAC
rnacentral:rRNA from 1 species